UAUUCAUCCAAUAGUGGAACACCUAAAAUGCCCUUCAAUUUCUACCGAUUUAUCGUUUUUGCCCUCUUAACAUCUUGCUCCUCCACGUUGCUUCAGCCUUAGACCCUCUCUUUACGUUCAGCCUUUGACCUAGGUCUUUCGUCCUCUUCCUUUUGCUUGCUCGAGCUUCCCCUUUCUCUUUCCUCCUGCUUCUCUUCUUGGUAUAACCUCAUCCCCAUCUCCUACUGAAAUUUUGUCGACCACACAAUUCACGAAUGAAGGGAGGUAAAUAUCGCAAAGAUUCUCUGCCUUUGAAUUGUAAGCUCUUCAGAUCUGAAAUUGUUAUCAUUUUCAAUUGUUUUAAAAGUUUCUUAUGCAGAAAGCUGAAACGGCAGCAAGUGAGACGAAUAGGGCAUCGGUUGUGGCGUUGAAUGCUGAGAUUCGUCGAAUUAAAGGUUGAUUGCAGCGAUUGGCUCAAAAAAAGGGUUAUAUUCGGUUGUGGCGUCGAAUGCUGUGAUUCGUCGAAUUAAAGGUUGAUUGCAGCGAUUGCUGCAUAUUUGUACAAACUUGGAGAAGAUCUCGUAAGUCUAUGCUGGAAAGAAUGAUCAGUGGCAUGAUUGUUAAAAGAGCUUAGCUACUAAAGGAAAUUGAUGAUCAUGAAGCAAAGGUGGCAACCAUAUGUUCUGCAAUGGGAGAGAGACCGUUGCAUAUUCAGCAGCAAAGCAGUUUGCGGCUUUAUAGGGUGUGAUGUCGAUGAACUCCAUCAACUUUCGAUAGUAGAGUUCACAACUUCUUUUUUUCGUUCAGAUAUUGCAAGAGGUUUUUGCAGCCAACAACAUAAGGUUUUUGUCAGAAUCUCUUUUUCCUGAUGUACAGAUGAUUUCGGGAUCAAUUCCAAACUUCCGUAAUGCUGAGGGACAAGAUGUGCUGCUCUUUAUUGACAACAUUUUCCGUUUUACCCAAGCUAACUCAGAGGUGUCUGCUUUACUUGGAUGUAUUCCCUCGGCUGUUGGUUACCAACCUACCUUGGAUACUGAUCUUGGAGGUCCACAAGAGUGUAUUACAACGACCAAUAAGGGUUCUAUUACUUCUGUCCAGGCUAUCUAUGUGCCUGUUGAUGAUUCGACAGAUCCUCCUCCUGCUACAACUUUUCCUCAUUUGGAUGCCACUACUAUAUUAUCCCGACAGGGACAUUUCGAGCUGCCAAAUUGGUAUCUGUAGCACCUAAAUAGAACUAAAGAGCUGGAUGAUAAUACGAGCUUCUCAUUGAUCGUCCUAGGCUUUCUUCUCGCGUCGAGACAUCUUGAUCAAGAGUUCAUAUUAGUGGUAUAAGAUUUGGUAUAUAGUAUCUGGAUUGUUGGAUGAGGGUUCACAAGGUCCGCACUGUCAGCAGUUACAGUUCAUGUGACAAGUUUUACGAAGUUCCAUGGAGUUGCAAAAACUCCAACAAAGACGAUUGUGCGUAAUCUGAAAGAAUACAUGGAGAAGAAGGGCUUACCAAAAGGGUUGGCUCUAGAGAGCUGCAAUACUCUCGAAACUGCAGGACAUGGGGUAGUUGCUCCUCUUCACCAGACGCUGCAAUCUGCCAUUAAUGGGAAUGAUUCAGCAUUGCCAAAUUCUGGGACAGUUAUUUGGAUUUGAGGGAGAUCGCGUCAGCUUUUGAAAACGGGUUCUUAUAUUAAGGAAGCACAUUUCUGGUUUAGCUAAUUGUCACUCACAUAGAGCGGGAGGUUGAGCAAUUUCUUUGGAAAAAAAUCUGGUGGCAAACAAGAAGAAAGGAAAGCUCGAACCAUCUGGGUGUCAGAAGCUGAUAGAAGAAGGAUGUUCAUAGAGAUCGUUCGGGAUUCUCUGGCCAAAAUGUCCAUCCCCAUCAGUAGGUCGCAAGAGGUCCUGGGAUCUUAAGUUCCCUUCCAUCGAACUUCAACGUGUAUGCUUGUCAAAGUGCCGGGGAUAGCUUUGAGAGGCCGGGGCAAUUUGGUAGUAGAGAGAGGCAGGGGCAAUUUGACAAUAGAGAGAGGAAGGGGCAAUUUGACAAUAGAGAGAGGCAAGGGUGGGCAGGACACAGUUUUGGUGAGGAAAGAGAAAUCACCGAAACUCAAUCCAACAGAACUCGGGAAGCAUUUGUGUGAGCUUGGAGAUCAGUUGUUUACAGGCACCUGUUACUCCAGUCCUAAAAACCACAGAACUAAAGAGCCUAGGCCAAAGGUACCACCAGCAUUAAAUAUCUAUCAGCAACAGGCAGUUGACUUCUUUCUGAUAGUCUUUCCAAGAUCACCUAGAAAGAUGCAAGUAAAGUCUGCCGAGCCAAUUCACUGGCAACACACAAAUUCGGUUAAGUUUCUACUGUGGGAAAAAACAUCUAUGGGAAAAUAUCAUCACAACAAUUUCAGAAGUUACAGCAAACAUCGUUGUAAGAAUCCUAACAGUAAAUCUACAAAAAACGCGUAAAGCAGGUGUGUGCUGCAGAAACUGGUAGGUGGCAUGGACUUGAUGUUGUGUUCCCAGUAGCGCGUUGCUACCUAAAAGAAUGCUUAACAGGGACUACAGGAAGAGGAUGACUGAUGCCCAAGCUUUGAGUAAGUGUUUUCUCAUUAUGUUCUUUGGCUAUUCAAGGUUCUGAGCUGGUGUACCAUAUAUUUUAAUCUGUAUUUUGACUUGAGCUUUGAAUUUACCUAAUUUGGUCAAAUAAUGAGGCUUAUGCGUACUUCAUGUAACAUUUGCUUAAGGAAAAGCUUUUGUAAUUGAUAGCCAAAUCACAUGUGAGUUCUGUCCUCACAGCUAGGGGCGCAAAUUGCAUGCUCCUCGGCAUUACAAACACCCAUCUUCUUCAAUCUGCUUUUAAACUAUAACCUAUUAUGAGCAGCAAACCAUUUCUCUUUUCCCUACUGACAAGAUCUGCUGCCUCUCUUUGCUUUCUCUGAGAUUUCAUCCCUUCCAUUUGCGAACCCUACCUGUCAUCUCUCCUCCGCCCCCUUAACUUUUCUCUCCUUUUCAGUAUCCUUGGAUCAUCAGGAAAUUGGUUUCAUCAAGCUGUUUACCUCAAAAUCGAUCAAUUUCUCCAGUUCCCUGGAUGAAUUCGGAGAGAAGAACAGCAAUUACAAAGCUCAAUCAUACAGAAAGAACAACAAUACUGAAGAAAAGGAGGAAGAAGAAACUUCAAUUACUGGUACUGAUCCUUGAAGUCGUCGCAACACCCCAAUGAUGAAGAAUUAAAGUAUCAAAAGUAUCUAUUAUUUGCAAGAUCUUCAAAAGUACCAGUAAAUGCUAAACUUGACCACUUAAAGGUUGGAUACCUUGAUUAUUGCAAGAAACGAGGCUUUGUCACCUGCUAUAUAAGCCCCUGUCCACCAGCGAAGGGAGAAGAUUAAUUUUAUAUUGUCAUCUAGAGACACAAAAAACACCCAGGCGAGUAUUUAAAACAUCUGAAUGGCUUCCUUACAUGGUUUGGGAAGGUAACAAGCAACUACAACUUUCUGAAGGCAUUACGCAAGUAGUUCAUUCUAUGUCGUCUAAUUCGUAAAUGAAAAACGUAUUUAAUACACUUUUCGAUUUCAUAUGUAGUAAGUGUUUUUUCUUGUAAAGUGACUUUCAAAUUGUAAUUAUUAUGACUAAUA